GAUUCUCAGAGGGCGGAGCCAGAGAGCAGCGAUUGGUCAGACCAUAGAUAAUAUAGAAGACAGCGCCCUAGCGUAUCUAGUCUAUGUAUAUCUAUGGUCAGCACGUCUGGUAGCAUCUCUGGCUGCUGUUGAUCUUGUUUUUGGAGUAAAACACGGUGGAAGCUGAAUUAGUGAGGAUGACUCCUGCUCCUGUCAUCUCUAAGCUCCUCACACAUCUUUACCUGCACAUGAGGAAAAUCACUCCUGUAGAAUGCAGAUGUUCAGAGGGAGAUGAUGCCACAUCUGGUCCAGCUGAUGGAAGGUCUUGAAGUUCUCUGACUGGCCUCGACUGAAGAUGGUCGUCUCACUGGAUUUAAGGUUCAGAUGCUCAGUAACAAACUCCACCAAUGAGCCAACAGGGAAGCUUUAGGUUUAUUAAAUGUUGCUAUGAAGGUUUCACUGUUUUUCUUUGUGAAUGCAAUGUGCUCCAACUGAAACUUGAAUUAGAACUUAGAAGUAAAUCCUGCCAUCUGAAAGGAUUUAGUUGCAUUAAUAACCUCAUAACAUUCUAAUUUUUAUUCCAGUCUUAGUUGGAAAUAGAAUCUCUGUAUUGAUUCAGGUAAAAACUGAACUUCACAGCAUGUUGGAGCAAAACAACCAGAUGAAAACUGUGAUGGUGUUGGAUUGUCAGACCGUAAUGUUGCAGCUCAAAGCAGCUUUUCUAGCUCAGUUCAUUCUGACAUUCAGCUAUGAAUCAACACAGCAGAUGGUGAUCCAUGCUGUGGAAGUCUCACAUCUCCUGAUUUAAUGGAGCUGCUUUGCACUUUUUACGCUGUUUAUUCACCAACACUUUAUUUAAUAAAAGUCCCAUCUAGUUUUUAUGAUGAAUGUGAUGUUUUAAUUUCUCUGUGAAUAACUGCAGUCUAAUGCAACAGCUGGAGUUGUAAGAUCUGUCCUGAUAUUGAUCAUGAAGUAUUGAUCAGAAUACUUAUGGUCAGCAGUCAUCCCUGAAGUUUUACAUUAAAAUGUUUACUUGUGUUGUGAACUUUGGUAAGAAGCAGAAACUUUUGCGUUGCCAUGGAUACAAGAGUGUUAAAUUCUGUCCAUGUUUCCAUUUUGGGAAAUGCAGUCCAGUUCCAGAAUGUGGAGGAAUUUAGUCUCAGAGUCACAGACAACAAAUAUUAUCUGAAAGUCGGGUUAUUGUUGUUUAUCAGCACAAUACAAAAAGAUUAAUGUUAGAAAUAUUCCAGUUAAGACUCUAGAAUAUCAGUAUUUAUGUAAAUUUACCUCAAUAAUAUGAAUGUUCAGGUUAAGAUUGUACAGUGAUAUUUAUUAUGUAAGUUUAGCUGAUUAAAGUUAAUGACUCUGCACUAAAAUAUUAUUUAAAUUGACAUCAUUAUUAUAAUAUUUAGGGUCAGACCCUACAGUAUUGAGAUUAAGAAAUCAAAUAUUCUAUAAAAUGUAAAUACACUGAACUCAUUUGGAUAUAUUUAAGUGAGACUCUACAAUUUUAUCUGACACAAAUCUAUCUAAAUCAAAAUUUUAAUAAUUUUCAUGCCAAACAUUUACUGGACUGAUUUAAACAUUAAAAUCACUCCUUUCUAAUCCUCUGCUGUACGUUCAAACCUGAGGCCUUAAAUAGAAACACACAAGUAUCUGAUUGAAGGAACUUCUGCAGAGUCCUGGUUCCAGAACAUGACGAUAGAAUUAUAGACAAACUUUAACAAAAGCUGCCUGAGAGUUUACAGGUUUUUAUGUUAGAUUUCUUCAGUAAUUUAAUGAGUUAUCAGCAAUAAUCAAGUGUUCAUUUGAUGAACUUCAUUUCCUAAAACAUCCAGAAUUGGAGCUCAUAUCUUUGGCAGCUGUAAAGUUUGUGCUCCUUCAAAGUUCACAACACAAUGAAUGAAUUCCUAAAACACUCUCAAUGCUGGAGAGCGUUUGAUGCUGAAGCAGUGAUCAGUUUUUCUGUUUCUUCUCUGGAGAUGCACAAUGAGGGACGUCUGCAGCGACUGAGAAAGAGUCUCACCACAUCCUGACAUGAGGAAAAAGACUUUAUUGAAGACUACAAUGAGAAAAACUAUCAGACAGUAGACGGCUGCAUUCAAGGUGAGCUCUGAACAUUUGAUCUGGAACAGGAAUUCAAUAACGGCAGCAUGAGCUUCAUUUCAGUCUGUAGCUGCUGAAUUCAUGGAUGAAUCAUCUGGCACUAGAGAGGAAGACCAUCAAACAUCCAUGUCAGCUGAUGGAGGUCCAAGAGUCUCACCGAACAACCAACCUACAGAGUGAAGACCUCAAAUCUGAUUGGACGGCCUCCUAUUCAGCCACAUUUUAGGCUGUUAGAUUGUUCCAGAUAAGACAAGUACAAGAUUCUUCAGAGCCGUUCUACCACGAGCCUGACAGGAAGAACUCCAACAGCUACUGAAUGUUCCUGUGGUUCCCUCAAGGCUACAGGAGGAGCCCUACGAGGACGAGCCGGUCCACCUGAUGGCGGCCAGUCGCUGCGGUUCAAAGCCAACACUGACUACGUGGACUUCUAGUGGACCACAUGGAGGCCUUCAAACCAGACCAACAAGUUCAGCGACUCCCCGACUCGUGGGUCUGAGGAUGCUGCCGAGCCUCGGUCCAGCCGGCCUCCUGUCUGUGGGUGUUUGAGUGCUGAGAGGUUUGUGGAUGCAUGUGAACGUUCUGUGUUGAAACAGCAGCUUUGGACUCAGUAACGCCGGGAAAAACCAAGAGCUCCUUUAUUUGUGACUUCCACUAAAAAAACUGAUGAAAAUAAGUUUGCCAGGGUUCUGACUGAUAACACAUUAUUAAAUAAUGAAAAUAAUCGUUUAAAUAUUCCUUUAAACAAUCCUUUUAGGUCUACAUUUCCUUUACACUGACUUCUUGGUAUAUGUACAAGUAUUUUAGGUGGAAUAUACCGUUAAACUCACCUUUUAGGUCUACAUUGGAGGAUUUUAGGUGGAAUUUUCUUCCAAACGGUCUUUUAGUCUACAUUUAAGGAUGUUUAGGAUGGUAUAUUCUUCCAAACCAACUUCUCAGGUCUACAUUUCAGGUGGAAUAUUCCUCCAUACUGACUUUUUUGGUCUACAUUGAAGGAUUUUUUCUAAACUACCCUUUCGGGUCUAUAUCUGAGGUUUUAGGUGGAAUAUUCCUUCUAACCAGCCCCUCAGGUCUCUUUGAGGAUUUUGGAUGGAAUACUCGGUUAAAGCAACAUUUUAGGUGCAUGUCCAAGGAUUUUUGGUGGAAUGUUCCUUUAAGGUGAAUUUUUGAGGACCUUGUAGGUGGAAAACUUCCUGAAACCAACCUUUUAGGUCAACAUUCAAAGAUUUAAGGUGGAAUAUUCCUUUAAACCAACCUAAAUUUCAUGUUUUGAUCAUUAUCAAGUGAGAAACCUCAAUCCAGACUCCUCAUAAUGACGUUUGAGAUUUAUGCUUCUGUUAUUUGUUUAGUCCAGACUAAAUGACAGAAAUCCACAACUGUCAUUUUAUUUCAGGACUUGGUUAUUAAAUGUCAAAACAAUCCAUGUGACUCUAAAAACUCAACAGCUUUACAAACUCUAAGAUUAAACUCUCCACAAGGAUCUAAAAUAAGUUGGACUUCUACAUGAGAGCUUUAAUUAUUCUUCAUCUACUUCCUGAAAAGUUUGGUCAAUUAAAAAAGACAAAAACUAAUAUUUUCAGCUGAACUAAAGACAGACUUUGUGAUUUUUCUGCUCACAUGUUGUGUUGUAAACUUACUCUUUCAAAUAAAUAUCCUCCUAACCCCCUGGAAA